rnacentral:rRNA from 1 species
UGGGGAAUCUUGGACAAUGGGCGAAAGCCUGAUCCAGCCAUGCCGCGUGAGUGACGAAGGCCUUAGGGUUGUAAAACUCUUUCGUCGGGGACGAUAAUGACGGUACCCGAAGAAGAAGCUCCGGCUAACUUCGUGCCAGCAGCCGCGGUAAUACGAAGGGAGCUAGCGUUGUUCGGAAUCACUGGGCGUAAAGCGCACGUAGGCGGAUAGUUAAGUCAGGGGUGAAAUCCUGGGGCUCAACCCCAGAACUGCCUUUGAUACUGGCUGUCUCGAGGUCGAGAGAGGUUGGUGGAAUUCCUAGUGUAGAGGUGAAAUUCGUAGAUAUUAGGAAGAACACCAGUGGCGAAGGCGGCCAACUGGCUCGAUACUGACGCUGAGGUGCGAAAGCGUGGGGAGCAAACAGGAUUAGAUACCCAAGUAGUCCCUGAGCGGGCUGGCAAGGCGCAU